UACGUAGGUGGCAAGCGUUGUCCGGAUUUACUGGGCGUAAAGAGCGCGCAGGCGGUCGUUCAAGUCGCGUGUGAAAGCCCCCGGCUCAACUGGGGAGGGUCACGCGAUACUGAUCGACUCGAAGGCAGGAGAGGGUAGUGGAAUUCCCGGUGUAGUGGUGAAAUGCGUAGAGAUCGGGAGGAACACCAGCGGCGAAGGCGGCAAACUGGAUAGGCACUGACACUCAACAACGAAAGCGUGGGGAGCAAACAGG
rnacentral:rRNA from 1 species